GCCAGUGUGGCACAGUGGACUGAGUAUUGGACUGUGAUUCUGGAGACCAGGGUUUGAUUCCCUGCUUGGUCA